rnacentral:rRNA from 1 species
UACGAAGGGGGCUAGCGUUGUUCGGAUUUACUGGGCGUAAAGCGCACGUAGGCGGAUUGUUAAGUCAGGGGUGAAAUCCUGGAGCUCAACUCCAGAACUGCCUUUGAUACUGGCAAUCUCGAGUCCGGAAGAGGUAAGUGGAACUCCUAGUGUAGAGGUGGAAUUCGUAGAUAUUAGGAAGAACACCAGUGGCGAAGGCGGCUUACUGGUCCGAUACUGACGCUGAGGCACGAAAGCGUGGGGAGCAAACAGG